CCUACGGGUGGCAGCAGUGAGGAAUAUUGGUCAAUGGACGCAAGUCUGAACCAGCCAUGCCGCGUGCAGGAUGACGGCUCUAUGAGUUGUAAACUGCUUUUGUACGAGGGUAAACCCCGAUACGUGUAUCGGGAUGAAAGUAUCGUACGAAUAAGGAUCGGCUAACUCCGUGCCAGCAGCCGCGGUAAUACGGAGGAUCCGAGCGUUAUCCGGAUUUAUUGGGUUUAAAGGGUGCGUAGGCGGUUUGGUAAGUUAGGGGUGAAAUGUCGGGGCUCAACCCCGAAACUGCCUUUAAAACUGGCGGACUAGAGAAUAGAUGCGGUAGGCGGAAUGUAUGAUGUAGCGGUGAAAUGCUUAGAUAUGACUCAGAACACCGAUUGCGAAGGCAGCUUACCAGACUAUAACUGACGCUGAGGCACGAGAGCGUGGGUAGCAAACAGGAUUAGAUACCCUGGUAGUC
rnacentral:rRNA from 1 species